rnacentral:rRNA from 1 species
GACGAACGCUGGCGGCGUGCUUAACACAUGCAAGUCGAGCGAUGAAGUUCCUUCGGGAAUGGAUUAGCGGCGGACGGGUGAGUAACACGUGGGUAACCUGCCUCAUAGAGGGGAAUGGCCUUCCGAAAGGAAGAUUAAUACCGCAUAAGAUUGUAGUAUCGCAUGAUACAGCAAUUAAAGGAGUAAUCCGCUAUGAGAUGGACCCGCGUCGCAUUAGCUAGUUGGUGAGGUAACGGCUCACCAAGGCGACGAUGCGUAGCCGACCUGAGAGGGUGAUCGGCCACAUUGGGACUGAGACACGGCCCAGACUCCUACGGGAGGCAGCAGUGGGGAAUAUUGCACAAUGGGGGAAACCCUGAUGCAGCAACGCCGCGUGAGUGAUGAAGGUCUUCGGAUUGUAAAACUCUGUCUUCAGGGACGAUAAUGACGGUACCUGAGGAGGAAGCCACGGCUAACUACGUGCCAGCCGCCGCAGUAACAC